UGAGCCUCAUGCCUUCUCUUUCACACUUGCCUUGUGUCAGGGAUACUGCAUGUUUAGCCAGCAUGAAGCACAGAUUAAAGAUGGUCAACCGGUGCUGCCCACCGAGUGUACUGAUCCCUAUGAUGGGAGCAAGCAUUCAUUCGGCUCCGAGUGGAAUACAGCGCAGUGCAUGAAAUGCACAUGUGAUGAAAGUGGAAUGGAUUGCUGUACCAGGUGGUACUGUCGGUUCCGGGAAUUAAAGCAGUGGUAAAUCCAAACACAUGUAAAUAUGAGUUGUAUAAACUGGACGAUCCCUCCAAACCCUGUUUCUGAGCUUUACA